GCUUACGGCACACCGGCCUGAGUACGCCUGAUCUCGCUGAUCUCGGAAGCUAAGCAGGGUCGGGCCUGGUUAGUACUUGGAUGGGAGACCGCCUGGGAAUACCAGGUGCUGUAAGCU
rnacentral:rRNA from 1 species